rnacentral:rRNA from 1 species
ACGGGUGAGUAACGCGUGGGAAUCUACCCAUCUCUACGGAAUAACGCAUGGAAACGUGUGCUAAUACCGUAUACGUCCUUCGGGGGAAAGAUUUAUCGGAGAUGGAUGAGCCCGCGUUGGAUUAGCUAGUUGGUGGGGUAAAGGCCUACCAAGGCGACGAUCCAUAGCUGGUCUGAGAGGAUGAUCAGCCACACUGGGACUGAGACACGGCCCAGACUCCUACGGGAGGCAGCAGUGGGGAAUAUUGGACAAUGGGCGCAAGCCUGAUCCAGCCAUGCCGCGUGAGUGAUGAAGGCCCUAGGGUUGUAAAGCUCUUUCACCGGUGAAGAUAAUGACGGUAACCGGAGAAGAAGCCCCGGCUAACUUCGUGCCAGCAGCCGCGAUAAUACGAAGGGGGCUAGCGUUGUUCGGAUUUACUGGGCGUAAAGCGCACGUAGGCGGACUAUUAAGUCAGGGGUGAAAUCCCGGGGCUCAACCCCGGAACUGCCUUUGAUACUGGUAGUCUUGAGUUCGAGAGAGGUGAGUGGAAUUCCGAGUGUAGAGGUGAAAUUCGUAGA